UACGUAGGGUGCGAGCGUUAAUCGGAAUUACUGGGCGUAAAGCGUGCGCAGGCGGUUCGUUGUGUCGGCGGUGAAAGCCCCGGGCUCAACCUGGGAAUGGCCGUUGAAACUGGCGAACUGGAGUGUGGCAGAGGGGGGUGGAAUUCCGCGUGUAGCAGUGAAAUGCGUAGAGAUCGUAAGGAAGACCAGUGGCGAAGGCGGGUCUCUGGACAGUUCCUGACACUGAGGCACGAAGGCCAGGGGAGCAAACGGG
rnacentral:rRNA from 1 species